GUGACCCAGUGAGGAGCACUCACACUAAGAUUCAAACAAUCAGGAGCAGAUUAGCAUGACCCCAGUGCAAGGAGGACACUCACAUAGGUGAAGUGUUCCAUAUUUUU